AUUUGACCGAACAGUCUCAAAUAAGACGAAAUGCGUAUCUUGGAU
rnacentral:hammerhead_ribozyme from 1 species